GUAAACGAUGUCUACUAGCUGUAGGGGUACUUGAGACCUUUGUAGCGCAGCUAACGCACUAAGUAGACCGCCUGGGGAGUACGGCCGCAAGGUUAAAACUCAAAUGAAUUGACGGGGGCCCGCACAAGCAGUGGAGCAUGUGGUUUAAUUCGAUGCAACGCGAAGAACCUUACCAGGCCUUGACAUCCUCGGAACUUUCUAGAGAUAGAUUGGUGCCUUCGGGAACCGAGUGACAGGUGCUGCAUGGCUGUCGUCAGCUCGUGUCGUGAGAUGUUGGGUUAAGUCCCGUAACGAGCGCAACCCUUGUCCUUAGUUGCCAGCACAUAAUGGUGGGAACUCUAAGGAGACUGCCGGUGACAAACCGGAGGAAGGUGGGGACGACGUCAAGUCAUCAUGGCCCUUACGGCCUGGGCUACACACGUGCUACAAUGGCUAGGACAGACGGCCGCAAACCCGCGAGGGGGAGCCAAUCCGACAAACCUAGUCGUAGUCCGGAUCGGAGUCUGCAACUCGACUCCGUGAAGUCGGAAUUGCUAGUAAUCGCGAAUCAGAAUGUCGCGGUGAAUACGUUCCCGGGCCUUGUACACACCGCCCGUCACACCAUGGGAGUGGGUUGCUCCAGAAGUGGUUAGUCUAACCUUCGGGGGGACGAUCACCACGGAGUGAUUCAUGGCUGGGGUGAAGUCGUAACAAGGUAGCCCUAGGGGAACCUGCGGCUGGAUCACCUCCUUAGAGUUUGAUCAUGGCUCAGUGCGGUUGGAUAACCUCCUU
rnacentral:ncRNA from 2 species